AUGGGCGGCGACGGCGGGACGAGGCCGCCGCCGGCGGCCAGGGCAGGCGCCGCAUCCAUCGUGCUCGGCAACGACGACCUCCUCAGCGAGAUCCUUCUCCGCGUAGGCUACCCCACGAUCCUCGUCCGCGCCGCGGCCGUCUGCACGCGCUGGUACCUCCACGUGUCGGAUCGUGGGUUCCUCCGCCGUUUCCGCAACCUCCACCCGCCCCGUCUCCUCGGCUUCUACGGUUCCGACGACGACUGGUGGGUGCGGAGAAUGCGCUUCGUGCCAAUAUUGCCUCAGCCGCCAGAGCUCGCCACCGUCGUCCGCCGCGUCAUCUCCAGCUUGGACGCCUACAAGAGCAUGUGGCCGGCACCGACCUACUUCCUAGGCUGUAGGAACGGUAGCCUCCUGGUCAGCCAUCAAGGAAGGCCCGGAAGCAGCACCAAAUUGGGAGUGCAUUGCCUCCUGUGCCCCGAGAGUGGCCUGGCCAUGCUCCCAUCAUGCCCAUUCUCCCGGCCCCGGGAAGGCAGUUUCAUUAUGUGGCAUGGCAACGUCCUCUCCAAAGAAGAAGGCGAUGGUGUCACGUAUUGGGAUUUGUUGCUGCAUUCUACCCCGCUGAGAAAGCAUUCCACGGAGAGAAAGCAUGCCGCAUACGUGUACAUGUUGCGGGAUGGUGCCUGGUGCACGCAUAGCUUGGCUGUAGACGAGAUCCGUCGUCCCUUCCCUCUGCAACCAAGACCUGUGCUCGUCGGCAAUAAAAUCUAUAUGGCAACCGCCCAGAGCGACAUUACUGUGUGGGAUUUGAUGGCCUCAAGUUCCUCCAGGAUUCGGCUGCCAGAAGGGGUGGCGCAUGGAGAGAGAAACACCAUCUUGUCACGGGCUGAUGAUGCCUCUAGUGUAUACCUAAUCCAUAUCGAGGAGCUUCAACUUCGCGUCUGGCUACACAAGGGGGGCAGCUGGUUGCUCAUGGACACCAUUUGUUUGCGUGAGAUGUGCGCGGAUUUGGGUAUGUUGGACUGUGACGCUCUUCCCACAAUAAACUACAUGGGGUACAAUGCCGAGUUUGUGUUCUUACGGAUGGGCCAGUGCAUAUUGCACUUGGAUAUCAAGUGCAGGACACUGCGUAAAUUGCAUGAGAUUACAAACGAGAACCUAUGGUCGGCAUAUAUCCAUCCUGUUGUGAUGAUUUGGCCUCCCACAUUUCCUGCGCUAAGGAAUGGACCCUCAAGUGAUAAACUAUGGUGCAUCAAGGAUGAACUGAGCAGUACCGACGGGGCUGCGCUUGCCCGGCAGCACGACCUAGUAUAUGACUGCAUCCACAUCGACCGCCUGAGACAGUGUCCUUCUGCAAUUGUAGAUAGCCUCUCUAGAUUUGCAUAUCAUGGCAUCUUCCACUGGCUCGACUACAACUAA
rnacentral:rRNA from 1 species